AGCGAACGCUGGCGGCAGGCCUAACACAUGCAAGUCGAACGAAGUCUUCGGACUUAGUGGCGGACGGGUGAGUAACACGUGGGAACGUGCCUUUAGGUUCGGAAUAACUCAGGGAAACUUGUGCUAAUACCGAAUGUGCCCUUCGGGGGAAAGAUUUAUCGCCUUUAGAGCGGCCCGCGUCUGAUUAGCUAGUUGGUGAGGUAAAGACUCACCAAGGCUACGAUCAGUAGCUGGGCUGAGAGGAUGACCAGCCACGUUGGGACUGAGACACGGCCCAAACACCUACGGGAGGCAGCAGUGGGGAAUCUUGCGCAAUGGGCGAAAGCCUGACGCAGCCAUGCCGCGUGGAUGAUGAAGGUCUUAGGAUUGUAAAAUCCUUUCACCGGUGAAGAUAAUGACUGUAGCCGGAGAAGAAGCCCCGGCUAACUUCGUGCCAGCCGCCGCAGUAAGAC
rnacentral:rRNA from 1 species